UACAGAGGUCCCGAGCGUUUGUUCGGAUUCACUGGGCGUAAAGGGUGCGUAGGUGGUUGGGUAAGUUUGAUGUGAAAGCUCAGGGCUUAACCCUGAAAUGGCAUUGAAUACUACUUAACUGGAGGUUUGGAGGGGGACUGGAAUUCUUGGUGUAGCAGUGAAAUGCGUAGAUAUCAAGAGGAACACCAGUGGCGAAGGCGAGUCCCUGGACAACACCUGACACUGAGGCACGAAAGCUAGGGGAGCAAACAGG
rnacentral:rRNA from 1 species